rnacentral:lncRNA from 1 species
UUAUUAACAAAUCUAAGUCUCCCACCUCCACAAUCCAAAACCCCUAAACUGAACACUCACCUCCACCUCCACCUCCACCUCCACGUCCAGCUCCAGAAUCCAAAACCCCUAAACUGAACACUCACAGCCUGUGAUUUAGCUGCAAAAAUGGAGACAAUGGAGGCCAAUCAGCAAAUUGAAGAAACUACCCUUGUCAACCAAGCCGCCUCCUCCGCCUGUCCUCCUCCUCCGCCAUCUCUAUCUAAGAGCGCGCAGAAGAAGCUGCUGAAGC